rnacentral:rRNA from 1 species
UACGGAGGGGGCUAGCGUUGUUCGGAAUUACUGGGCGUAAAGCGCACGUAGGCGGCGAUUUAAGUCAGAGGUGAAAGCCCGGGGCUCAACCCCGGAACUGCCUUUGAGACUGGAUUGCUAGAAUCUUGGAGAGGCGAGUGGAAUUCCGAGUGUAGAGGUGAAAUUCGUAGAUAUUCGGAAGAACACCAGUGGCGAAGGCGACUUACUGGACACAUAUUGACGCUGAGGUGCGAAAGCGUGGGGAGCAAACAGG